GACGAACGCUGGCGGCGUGCCUAAUACAUGCGAGUCGAACGAGAGCGACCGGUGCUUGCACUGGUCAAUCUAGUGGCGAACGGGUGAGUAACACGUGGGUAACCUGCUCAUCAGAGGGGGAUAACAUCCGGAAACGGAUGCUAAAACCGCAUAGGUCUUCGAGCCGCAUGGCUUGAAGAGGAAAAGAGGCGCAAGCUUCUGCUGAUGGAUGGACCCGCGGUGCAUUAGCUAGUUGGUGAGGUAACGGCUCACCAAGGCCGUGAUGCAUAGCCGACCUGAGAGGGUGAUCGGCCACAUUGGGACUGAGACACGGCCCAAACUCCUACGGGAGGCAGCAGUAGGGAAUCUUCCGCAAUGGACGCAAGUCUGACGGAGCAACGCCGCGUGAGUGAAGAAGGUUUUCGGAUCGUAAAACUCUGUUGUUAGAGAAGAACAAGUGCUAGAGUAACUGUUAGCGCCUUGACGGUAUCUAACCAGAAAGCCACGGCUAACUACGUG
rnacentral:rRNA from 1 species